AGCAGGGCAUGAACGAAGUAUGGAGGAUCUGUUUGAAAAUUCCAGACAUGAGAAAGAAAAUGACAGGGAGAGAUGUCCAGUUCAACGUUACCAGGACAAUUCAGCAAAGUUCCAACAGAUAUAAAAAAUCUGAAUUUGAGGCAAAUAUAUACUGUCAUGUAUAUAUAUAAGAUGGAUAAAGGACAUGAUACUUUAGCAGUGCUUCAGAGAAUCACAUUUGGCUACAGAAGUUUGUAGUAUUUUGGUUGUAAUCAAGUUAUUAAGCUGAAGCUUCAUAGUAAAACAGAUCUAGGCUACACCUUCACUAUUCAAGUCAGACUUUAAAAGGAAGCCUUUUUUGUUGAUAGCUGAACAUAUAAGUAAAUACAUUAAUAUCUUAUUUGUAUAUUGUACAAAUUAAACAAAGGAAGAAUAAUUAAGAAAUA